CGCCGCCGCCGCCGCGCCACUGCCUUCGCGCAGGUGCGGCGGCCUCUCUCGCCACUUCCACUGCGCCGAAUCUUCGCGGCUGCGCAGGUGGCGCCCCUGAGGCUCCCAGGGUUUGCUGCGCUGGGGAAGCUCCCAUUACGCAGAGCGCGCGUAGGCAGCGCUGACCUUCCCGCUUCCCAGCUUCCCGGGUCUAGGGCGCUCAGCAGAUGUGGUUGUGCUCUUUCCGCCUUGCUUUUGUUUUCUUGGUUUCAGUCCCUGGUUUUGCAAGUAGUUCCUCGUUCCCGGUAAGCGGGAAACGCGGACUGCGUUACCCAUGUUUGAAACUGGGUUUACACGUUUGGAAAGCAAGAAGGGGUUACUCUGCUGGAGCAGUUUGAUGUUGCACGUAAGGGGUUUUAUACCUUACGGUUCCACAAGCUCCCGCUGUAUCUGGUAUGUAGAAGAGAGGGACAAAGAAACGCGGAGGCUCAGGAAGGUUGGUUGCCCACCUCUUCUUUCCACCACAGAAUUCUGCCUCUAGAAAAGCAGGGGAAAGAGUAGCCACGCAAAGGAUCUGGCCACACGGAUGCGGGAUUUUAGUUCCUGGACUAGGGAUCGAACCCAUGCCCCCUGCAGUGGAAGCAUGGAGUCUUAACCACUGGACCACCAAGGAAGUCCCCAUUGUGUUCAUUUUUUAAAGGAAGGUGUAAAUAUGAGGGUAAUUCAUAACAAGUGACAACUUUUAAAGAAAUGACUUUAAACAACUUGAUACGUUGCUGUUGUCAGUAGACAGAACUUUUAGCCCCAAAGUAAGAUGCAACCUGACUUUUAAGGCAGGGACAAGGAUGUGC